rnacentral:rRNA from 1 species
UACGUAGGGUGCGAGCGUUAAUCGGAAUUACUGGGCGUAAAGCGUGCGUAGGCGGUUCGCUGCGUCUGCUGUGAAAUCCCGGGGCUUAACCCCGGGCGUGCAGUGGAUACGGGCUGGCUGGAGGCAGGCAGGGGAGAAUGGAAUUCCCGGUGUAGCGGUGAAAUGCGCAGAUAUCAGGAGGAACACCGGUGGCGAAGGCGGGUCUCUGGGCCGAUACUGACGCUGAGGAGCGAAAGCGUGGGGAGCGAACAGG